rnacentral:rRNA from 1 species
GACAGAGGGUGCAAACGUUGUUCGGAAUUACUGGGCGUAAAGCGCGUGUAGGCUGCUCAGAAAGUCGGAUGUGAAAGCCCUGGGCUUAACCUAGGAAGUGCAUUUGAAACUUCUGAGCUUGAGUUCUGGAGAGGAAGGCGGAAUUCUCGGUGUAGAGGUGAAAUUCGUAGAUAUCGAGAGGAACACCGGUGGCGAAGGCGGCCUUCUGGACAGUGACUGACGCUGAGACGCGAAAGCGUGGGGAGCAAACAGG